GGAUGUUAGGGCAAUCUGGCUGCAACAUCUGUCACCUCAUUGAUCACUAGGGUAAAUACGGCUGAUCUGGCUGGCUAGGCAGGUGUCCCCUUCCUCCCUCACCACUCCUUAUGCAUGCCUCCCAAAGCUGCACGCUGGGUCAAAGAAGACGACCAUCCCCAAAAGAUGAGGAUGGGUCUUCAGUAAAGUUCUGUGCUCCCUUGCUAGAACCUCCAAACAAGCUCUCAAGAAACGUACAAUGAAAAAAAAAAUACUUUAAAAAUUCUUUUACCUUUCAAAGUAGCAACUAUAUUA
ensembl:misc_RNA 7SK 7SK RNA